GCAGUGUUUGUAGGAACAGUUCCUCCUGCAUUAUGUGAGGAAUGGACUUGAAAAUAAGAUGUUCAGUUCAGCAAAGAAACAAACUCCAUUGUUAAUAUAGGACUGGACAACAUUUGAGUGGUGGUGGUGACUUCAAGAAGAGGGAACAGCAACAACAGACUGUAUCUCAAUCCCACAGCAAAGAAAGAACUCUCAAGCAAACAAUGCAGCCUGCCUGGUCCAUCCGGGACCCUCCUGUUUCGAGCAACAGCAAAGACAGCACGAACUGGACACCCUUUGAUUGGAGUCUGUGUCCUCGUCCAACAGCAGCGAGCGUCCUGGAGGCUCAAAGGUCACUGAUGCUGGAAACUCUGCAAUAGUAUUCAACGGAUGGAGUUUCAAAGCUAAAAGAGCCAAUAUAAAUGGCUCCAACACUUCAUUGUUUUGACAGCACAUGAGAAAAACUUUCUACAGAUGCAUCUAGAGAGUGCAUUGAGGCAACUGAAAGGCAAGAAUAUGAACCUUGUAGGCUUAUAGCUUAUGAAUCUAGUGCCAGGGGUGGCAG